UGGGGUAUGGUGUAAUUGGCAACACUAGGGAUUCUGAUUCCCUCAUUCUAGGUUCGAGUCCUGGUACCCCAGCCA
rnacentral:tRNA from 5 species